GGCGCGGUGGCCGAGGGGAGAGGCCGGCGGGGUGCAACCCGUUGCAGGAAGGUUCGAAUCCUUCCCGCGCCU
rfam:Candidate division WWE3 bacterium RIFCSPLOWO2_02_FTLL_53_10 rifcsplowo2_02_scaffold_66672, whole genome shotgun sequence.